UAAGCCAGCCUGCCAUAAUAUCCAGUAAAUGGCAUGAAACCUUUCAAGUCCCAUGGGAUAAAAUGCCUGCUGAAGUGCAAUCAGCUAUCGCCAACAGCAGGAAACCUGCUCCUGACAAGCGACGCCAAAUGAUUAGAAUCCUUGUGGAUGAAAUGAGAAGAUGUCUGCCACUGCAGCCGAUGUGGAGCGGACACUGACCCUCCCGACCAGUCCACGACUGAUACUGCUGGAUGGGGAGUUGACUCUUCGUAUCAUCCAGCUGUUGAUGGCCUAUUUUGAUGAAAGAAGAGAUGCACUGAUACGCCUUGCAGAUGUUCAGCCUGUUACGGUUCAAACACCUGCCGCCUCUCACUCUGUGCACUCCGCUGAGCGCGCUUCACUCUACAAUCAACACACCUGACGCUGAUGGGAUCCCUGCCUUCAUAAGCCAGCGCGUCCUGCGUUUCAGUGCCAGAACAAAACUACUUGUAC